GGCCAGACUCCUACGGGAGGCAGCAGUGGGGAAUAUUGCACAAUGGGCGAAAGCCUGAUGCAGCAACGCCGCGUGAAGGAAGAAGGGUUUCGGCUCGUAAACUUCUAUUAACAGGGACGAAAGAAAUGACGGUACCUGAAUAAGAAGCCCCGGCUAACUCCGUGCCAGCCGCCGCGGUAAUACGGGGGGUGCGAGCGUUAAUCGGAAUUACUGGGCGUAAAGCGCUCGUAGGCGGUAUGUCAAGUCAAGGGUGAAAUCCCCGCGCUCAACGUGGGAACUGCCUUUGAAACUGGCAAACUGGAGUGUGUGAGAGGAUAGUGGAAUUCCAGGUGUAGGAGUGAAAUCCGUAGAUAUCUGGAGGAACAUCAGUGGCGAAGGCGACUAUCUGGCACAUAACUGGCGCUGAGGAGCGAAAGCGUGGGUAGCAAACAGGAUUAGAUACCCGGGUAGC
rnacentral:rRNA from 1 species